AGAAUGAACGCUGGCGGCGUGCUUAACACAUGCAGGUCGAGCGAGGCCAGGGGGGGCAACUCCCUGAGUCGAGCGGCGGACGGGUGAGUAACACGUGGGUAACCUACCCGGAAGUGGGGAAUACCUCGGGGAAACUCGAGCUAAUACCGCAUAACAUCUCGAGGACGAAAGUUCUUGUGAUCAAAGCGGGGCCGCAAGGCCUCGUGCUACCGGAUGGGCCCGCGCCCGAUUAGCUAGUUGGCGAGGUAAUGGCUCACCAAGGCGACGAUC
rnacentral:rRNA from 1 species